rnacentral:snoRNA from 1 species
UUGGCCCUGAAUCAAGGCCAGCAGUUGGCUGAAGCUGUUGGUUUCAAGCAGGUGCCUAAAUAAAUGUCUUUCUACCGUCUCUUGGCCAUUUCAGAAAUUUGAAAAUGUAACGGUCAAUUCAUUAGAGAGAAACAUCU